UACGAAGGGGGCUAGCGUUGUUCGGAAUUACUGGGCGUAAAGGGCGUGUAGGCGGUCCGCUAAGACAGGUGUGAAAUUCCUGGGCUCAACCCAGGAAGUGCAUUCAAAACUACCUUGCUUGAAUCUCGGAGGGGGUCAGAGAAUUCCCGGUGUAGAGGUGAAAUUCGUAGAUAUCGGGAGGAAUACCAAUGGCGAAGGCGCUGACCUGGACGAAGAUUGACGCUGAGGUGCGAAAGCGUGGGGAGCAAACAGG
rnacentral:rRNA from 1 species